rnacentral:rRNA from 1 species
UACGGAAGGGGCAAGCGUUGUUCGGAAUCAUUGGGCGUAAAGGGCGCGUAGGUGGUUCUGUAUGUCUACCGUGAAAGCAUACAGCUCAACUGUAUUUUGUCGGUAGAAACUGCAGGACUUGAGGCUGGGAGGGGCUGGUGGAAUUCCCUGUGUAGCGGUGAAAUGCGUAGAGAUGGGGGAGAACACUCGUGGCGAAGGCGGCCAGCUAGACCAGUUCUGACACUGAGGCGCGACAGCGUGGGGAGCGAACAGG